AGGAAAUUGCCACCGGGUAAUGAAUGCGAAUAAGCGUUUGUUUGUAUAUCGUUAGGUCUUAGAAGAUAUGCAUACAAGCGCUCUUUUUUA
rnacentral:ncRNA from 1 species